AUAGGUGGUUCUCACUAUUGUCGAUUUUGUUCGAGCGAGUUUGACUUCCCACGGGGACUAUCAGCAACAUUCUUGCAGGAGUUUGGUAAUUUCAAGUCUCCAAUGUACUCAAGACUUCCUCAGUAUUGACACCACCGCUGCCAUUGGUGAUCGAUGACGGUAGUUGAGUCGAGUAGAAGAUCAGGUGUGGUUCAAGCAACACUAUCGGAGAGAUGUGGGUAUCAUUCACAGGGAAUUCCUACUCUUUUUUUCGAUG